CCUACGGGUGGCAGCAGUGAGGAAUAUUGGUCAAUGGACGAGAGUCUGAACCAGCCAAGUCGCGUGAAGGAUGACUGCCCUAUGUGUUGUAAACUUCUUUUAUAUGGGAAUAAAAAGUUCCACGCGUGGGAGGUUGUAUGUACCAUAAGAAUAAGGAUCGGCUAACUCCGUGCCAGCAGCCGCGGUAAUACGGAGGGCCCGAGCGUUAUCCGGAUUGAUUGGGCUUAAAGGGUGCGUAGGCGGGCGAUCAAGUCAGCUGUAAAAUCGCGCGGCUCAACCGCGCCCCGCAGUUGAAACUGAUCGCCUUGAGUUCACAACAGGCAGGCGGAAUUCGUGGUGUAGCGGUGAAAUGCAUAGAUAUCACGCGGAACCCCGAUUGCGAAGGCAGCCUGCCGGCGUGCGACUGACGCUGAGGCUCGAAGGUGCGGGUAUCAAACAGGAUUAGAUACCUGGGUAGUC
rnacentral:rRNA from 1 species